rnacentral:misc_RNA from 1 species
GAGAAACUAUGAUGAUUUAAAUGAGUACUUUUGGUCGGUUGAUUGUUUUCGAUUAGGUUGGCCCAUGCGUGCUGAUGCCAGUUUCUUUUGCCCUCCUCCAAGGGAGCUUCUAUUUGAUAAAGAUGAGGAGAAGAAACGAGUUAUUGGUGAUAGAUGGACUGGCAAAGUUAAUUUUGUAGAAAUACGAUCAUUUUGGCAUGUGUUCAGAAGUUUUGAUAGAAUGUGGAGCUUUUUUAUUUUGUGUUUACAGGUAAACCUAACUUUAUAUAUUAUUCUUGUUCUUUUUCCUUCUUCUUGUUGACUGUUUGAUAUAUUGUCUUCUCAACAUCAUGACUCAUGUUGGCAUGUGCUGUCCAAUUAAGGCGAUGAUCAUCAUUGGUUGGAAUGGAUCAGGCAAAUUGAGUUCCAUAUUUGAGGGUGAUGUUUUCAAGAAAGUUCUAAGCAUCUUCAUAACUUCUGCUAUAUUAAAUUUUGCACAAGGUAGACAACAAUUGAUCCUCAAGGUUCUGUGUUGGUGCAAUAUUCAUUGUCUCAUGCAUUUAGUGUACGGAUGCUGACACUCAUGGAAUGUAAAAGAAUACACUUUUUAUCCAUUGUUAUAAUGAAUUUUUGUUUCAUUAUGGCUAAUAUAUUCCAUCAUGCUCUGCAAGACAUGCCCUUAGUUCUUUUAUUUAUAGUCUCAGCAUGGCUGCCAUUAAAAAGAUUUCAAUUCUUUUGGAUAAUUGGUCCAAACUGCUCUGAUUUGACAUGAAAAGCCAGAAUUGUUGCUGUCCAUGGUAAAUUGGUAAUUAAUUUAUUUUUGAUGAAUAGCAAGACUAGUAAGAUCCUUUUAUAUGACAUAACUGGAAAAUGGUUCAGCAAUUUUGUACGAGAAUUUAUUUUGGGAUUGGGUAAUAGUUUCCAUUCUCUGGCAGCAUUAAAUUUUCAGGAAAUUUGUAGAGGUGGGGCUAGGAGUUUGGCUGGUUUGGAUUGAGAUAAUGAAAUCUGUGACAAAUCUUGCAAAGUUUUAAACAUGUACUUCCCUGCUGCCGAUGGAUUGAUAAUAGGUUAAAUGGGGGAAGAAAAAGUGAGAAAUAAAGCUAGUAACAGUUGGUCCCAUGCUUUUAAAGUCUUCUGGCUGUCUUGAUAAGCCUGCUAGACUGCAUUAAUGGUAAUUCUCUGCGUUUCUUGGAUUCACAAGAUAUCCUUAAAACUGCAGAUUUUGUUUGUGUCCACUUUUACAUCUUUCAUAUACACUCUCCAAUGGCUCAAAAUUCUAUGGAACCAAGAAAAAAAUGCUAUAUACUACACAUCAUUAUAGUGAUCCAUAUGACGAUCUUCUUCUUUGUAAAAGUUGUGAUUUUAUUAAUAUGCUCUUGUAAUUUUGCAGCUGUGAUUGAUGUAAUUCUGAGCUGGAAGGCAAAGCAGGCCAUGCCAUUUUAUGUCAAACUAAGAUACAUUUUGAAGGUUCUUUCAGCUGCAGCAUGGGUCAUAGUUCUACCUGUUACUUAUGCUUAUAGUUGGGAAAAUCCUCCUGGACUUGGCCAGACCAUUAAGAAAUGGUUUGGCAAUAGUCCAAGUUCACCUUCUUUGUUCAUUUUGGCCAUCCUUAUUUAUUUAUCUCCAAACAUACUCUCUGCAUUGUUAUUUCUGUUCCCAUUCGUUCGCCGGGUUCUUGAGCGGUCAAAUUAUAAAAUUGUGAUGCUCAUGAUGUGGUGG